rnacentral:rRNA from 1 species
UGGGGAAUAUUGCACAAUGGGGGAAACCCUGAUGCAGCGACGCCGCGUGAACGAAGAAGGUAUUCGUAUCGUAAAGUUCUGUCCUAUGGGAAGAUAAUGACAGUACCAUAGAAGAAAGCUCCGGCUAAAUACGUGCCAGCAGCCGCGGUAAUACGUAUGGAGCGAGCGUUGUCCGGAAUUAUUGGGCGUAAAGGGUACGCAGGCGGUUUAAUAAGUCGAAUGUUAAAGAUCGGGGCUCAACCCCGUAAAGCAUUGGAAACUGAUAAACUUGAGUAGUGGAGAGGAAAGUGGAAUUCCUAGUGUAGUGGUGAAAUACGUAGAUAUUAGGAGGAAUACCAGUAGCGAAGGCGACUUUCUGGACACAAACUGACGCUGAGGUACGAAAGCGUGGGGAUCAAACAGG